rnacentral:rRNA from 1 species
UACGGAGGGUGCAAGCGUUAAUCGGAAUUACUGGGCGUAAAGCGCACGCAGGCGGUCUGUCAAGUCGGAUGUGAAAUCCCUGGGCUCAACCCAGGAACUGCACUCGAAACUACUUGUCUUGAGUGUCGGAGAGGAAAGCGGAAUUCCUGGUGUAGAGGUGAAAUUCGUAGAUAUCAGGAGGAACACCAGUGGCGAAGGCGGCUUUCUGGACGAUAACUGACGUGAGACGCGAAAGCGUGGGGAGCAAACAGG